GAACGCACAUUGCGCCCUGUGGUAUUCCGCAGGGCAUGCCUGUUCGAGCGUCAUUCAACCCCCUCAAGCCCUGCUUGGUGUUGGGCGUUUGUCCCGCCUCUCUGGCGUGGACUCGCCUCAAAAACAUUGGCAGCCGUCACCCUGGCUUCGAGCGCAGCACAAUCGCGCCCGGUACCUAAGUGGCGGCUCCCAGAAGCCCACCCCCUCGGUUGACCUCGGAUCAGGUAGGGAUACCCGCUGAACUUAAG
rnacentral:misc_RNA from 1 species